GUCCUACGGGAGGCAGCAGUGAGGAAUAUUGGUCAAUGGUCGGGAGACUGAACCAGCCAAGCCGCGUGAGGGAAGACGGCCUUCGGGUUGUAAACCACUUUUGUAGAGAACGAAAAGUCUAUUGAUAAUACCGAUAGACGAUGACGGUACUCUAAGAAAAAGCAUCGGCUAACUCCGUGCCAGCAGCCGCGGUAAUACGGAGGAUGCGAGCGUUAUCCGGAUUUAUUGGGUUUAAAGGGUGCGCAGGCGGUCUGUUAAGUCAGCGGUCAAAGCCCGGGGCUCAACCCCGGCCCGCCGUUGAAACU
rnacentral:rRNA from 1 species